rnacentral:rRNA from 1 species
CGGACGGGUGAGUAACGCGUGGGUAACCUGCCUCAUACAGGGGGAUAACAGUUAGAAAUGACUGCUAAUACCGCAUAAGACCACAGCACCGCAUGGUGCAGGGGUAAAAACUCCGGUGGUAUGAGAUGGACCCGCGUCUGAUUAGGUAGUUGGUGGGGUAACGGCCUACCAAGCCGACGAUCAGUAGCCGACCUGAGAGGGUGAUCGGCCACAUUGGGACUGAGACACGGCCCAG